UCCCAGCCGUAAACGAUGUGCACUUGGCAUGUGCAAGUGAUUGUGCGUGCCGUAGGUAACCUGUUAAGUGCACCGCCUGGGGAGUAUGCUCGCAAGGGUGAAACUCAAAGGAAUUGACGGGGACCCGCACAAGCGGUGGAGGAUGUGGUUUAAUUCGAGGCAACGCGAAGAACCUUACCUGGGCUUGACAUGCUGAUAGUACCAAGCCGAAAGGCAAGGGAUCCUACCUCUGG
rnacentral:rRNA from 1 species